CGUCUAUAUACGUAUAGCAUAUCAAUAAGCGGAGGAAAAGAAACUAACAAGGAUUCCCUUAGUAACGGCGAGUGAGGCGGGAAGAGCUCAAAUUUGAAAUCUUCAAGGUUCUACCUUGACGAAUUGUAGUUUAAAGAAGUGUUUUCUGUUAGUAGAGUGGCAAAAGUUCUUUGGAAUAGGACAUCAUAGAGGGUGAGAAUCCCGUAUUUGGUCAUUCUUUCUAGCUUUGUGAUACACUUUCAACGAGUCGGAUUGUUUGGGAAUGCAGUCCAAAAUGGGUGGUAAAUUUCAUCUAAAGCUAAAUAUUGGCGAGAGACCGAUAGCGAACAAGUACCGUGAGGGAAAGAUGAAAAGAACUUUGAAAAGAGAGUUAAACAGUACGUGAAAUUGUCAAAAGGGAAGCGUUUGACACCAGUGUUGUUUUUCCGAAAAUCAAUUACGAAUGUUUUAUUUUUGAGAAGUUAUGACUUCAUCGGCUUGCUUCUCUCUUUAUGAAACUUUCUUAAUGCACUUUUCGGUUAACAAGUCAACAUCAAUUUCUUUUGUUGUAAAAGGGUAUGAGGAAGGUGGCUUUCUUUUCGGAGAAAGUGUUUAUAGCCUUGUACCUCUGCAAUCGGAGAGAUUGAGGUCUGCAGCGUAGAUCCUUCGGGGUUAGAUACAUUUGUGCUAAGUUAUAGCUUUUCAUAGACAACUUGUUGACUAUGUUAAGUCUUGUAGCUUACUCGCUUAUGCUAUUUUACCUACGCUUAGGAUGUUGAUAUGCAUGACUGAUAU
rnacentral:rRNA from 1 species